rnacentral:snRNA from 1 species
AACUCAUUUGACCAAUCAACU